CUUCUCCCUGCGCUGGAGUUGGAUCUCACGUCCGCCCUUAUCCUCUCCCUGCACUCAAGUCCUUCGCCCUCGCCUCCUCCGCCUCCCACGCCGCCGAGUCCCGCCACCGCCGCCUCCUCCGCCCGCUCCGCGCCGACCUCCUCCCCGCCGCACUCGCCCGCUACCCGUCCACCUCACGCCUCGACCUCUCCAGCUGCGCGCGCGUCCUCGACGCUGCCCUCACCGCCGUCCCCUCCGGAUCAUCUCUCCGCGCCCUCGACCUCUCCCGCUCCGGGGGCCUGCCCGAACUUCGCUGACCUCGACCUCUCCAAUGGGGUCUAUCUCGGGGACGCCGCGGCAGCCGAGGUGGGGCGGAUCUGGGGCCCUCCCCUCCAUCGACCGCCCCCUCCCUCCCCCGGCCCGCCUCCCCGCCGGAUUUGGGGCGCGGCUCGGAGUGAGAGCGACAGCAAGCUUCUGCGCGGCUCUGGCAGUGGCGUGGCGGCGGUGCCAGGGCUCGCCCGCCAGCGCACGUGCAGGGGGCGGCGUGCCGCGGCUGCCGGCGUCCCGACGCGACAGGCAGCUCCGGCUCUGACCCCGUACAUCCUAUCCCCUCCCCUCUCCCGUUCCCAUCUCUUCUAUCUCCUCCAGGGCCGGAUGGCAGCAAAGAAGGGCGCAGCGCUCGGCCUGGGGCGACAGCGGGUAGGGUGAUCGCCGGGGUACGGUCUCCCCCAGGGCCGGAGAGCCUCGUUGCAGAGGAGCACCCACAACCCGCAGCGCACAGCCAUCGACCUCGACAGUGUACAGUGAUCUGUUUCUCAAUUUGUUCCUUUGUUUUACCUCCUACGUUGCGUUUUUGGAUCUGAUUUACCGUUCAGACCAAUGGAUUGAGUUCUCUUUCUAUAGUAUCCCUACAGUAGCCAAGCAUUUGCUAGAUCUAUUUGCGUUAUUCUGGCUCAUCAAUAAGAUCGACAUAACUCCUGCUUGCUUAGCCUGAUUUUAGAGGUAGAUCAAGCGGAGCUGAUGAAGAAUCGACCAAAGCAGGAUAAGUCCAAGCUCACUGGGUUGGCCUAUUAUGAUCAAGCAGGAUAAGUACUAGGUUUGUACUAUUAUUAUUACGCGUUCUGCAGAAUGAAGAUCCGCUGGUCACGAGGAGCACUGCAUCGAUAAUCAGCCAUUUUACUUCAUUUGCACCUCUACUGGAUGCAAAAUCCCUCUCGAUUUCUUCUCAAAUGUGCAGUACACGACUGGGAUCUAUGGUCUUUGCUUGGUCAGAGGUACAAAGGCAAGUUCCUAGUGCUCACUGCUCAGAUCUAUUUUUUCUUGCAUACUAGUUCAUUUUCGUUUAGACCCGGAGAGUAAAAUGUUUACUUCUUUAUGCAGAAUUACAGAUCUUUUUCCCCCAAACUCUUUCCCUCUCUGAUAUGUCGCCCAGUAGGAUUCAUUUGUGCUGCUGUGGUAAAGAAAUGAAGAAAAACCUUUCCUUAAAUCCCUGUAUGCAUGUUCCUUUCGAUUUCAUAGUGUGUGUAUCUGAUUGGUGAUUUUGUUUUCUUUUUACUACGUAUUCUGGAUGCCACUGAUGCCGUGUGAAAUGUGAACAAACUGAGCCUAUGUUACUUUUCAGUUUUCACUUUUGUAGCA